UUUUCUUAAUUAACUAAGAUUAGGUUCAUAUUCAAGCAUAGUUUUGGCUUUCAUUCAAAAGCCAAUUUCUCUAUAAGUGCAUGGUGACAAUUUUAGCAACGAAAAUUAUGCUAUAAAGGAGACUAGAAAGUGGUCAAGUCAAAGGCAAGUACAGUACUCUAUAGUUUGCAUGGGAUAAGUUACAGAAAAAAAGAGUACAAUCCACAUAGGUUCCAAGUCAGGAUCCAAAUGACGACUGAGCUAUAGAACAACAUAUACCGGCUCUCAAAAGGGCUAGUCAAACACAAAUGCUAGGAUAGGAGAGCUGCUACCCCUUGAACCAUCGGUUUCCUCCCCUUGUCCUCAACCACCAAAAAUCAAAGAAACACACACACAGGGACUGAUGACAGAUGUAACUGACACGAACCAGCAUGAGGAAAAUGUGAGAAGUAUAUAGAAGAGAAAAAUAUGGUAGUUUUUUCCUGAAAUAACAUCUAAAAUUGGGGAAAAUGUAGCCACGUUCCCCUUUAUUUGGGUAUACCAGCACUUGGGUGGCAAUUCCACUUUUCUUGCCAAACAGGGUUUCACACUUGUAAUUUUCUAGCAACCAUCCAUAUCCUUUAUGAUUUUCAUUUAAGGCAAAUAUUAAAUCUGCUUAAAGACAGUUUUACCCUCAAAUUCAGAUAACAAUUUUAAAGCAUGUUUGGCGAAACUUAAAUUAUAAUUUAAGCACGUCUAACACACUUUUAAUCCACACAUUCAUUCUAUGGACCCACAACUUAUUACUCAUUUUUUAUCCAAACAUUAUAUGGGAACCGGUGAUUAAAUUUUAAGGAAAAAAUUAAACCCCAGCCAGUCCCCUCCUUCCAGCUUGAGCAAUGGUUCUUGGUGACAGAUUGUGUAGAUUUGCUAAGUCAACCACAGCUAUUUUCAGAUCUCUGCUUAAUACAUGUUUGAAUGGAUUUUAUCAUUGGCCUAUAGAGUCCAUUAAUGACUCUUGUGAUCAUUGCCCUUGACAUGAACACCGAGGGAUGGCAAGCAAAACUAGAGCCAGAUCGGC
rnacentral:lncRNA from 1 species